rnacentral:rRNA from 1 species
AUGAAACCAAUCUUCAAACCGCCAAGCACCACCAUUCAAACGGUGGAUGAGCUCAUUGAUACGACCACGUGGUCGUGGCGGCAAGAUGUGGUAAGGGACACUUUCGUCGCCCCGAAUGCCGAAGCCAUUCUGAACAUUCCUAUCAGGCAAGGGGGAGGUGAGGACUCAUUUGCUUGGGCAUUUGAGAAAUCAGGCAACUACACGGUGAAGACAGCAUACCGUGCUCUAAUGACUCAUAAAGAGCGCUUGGCUCUGGAGGAAGGGACGGCUACCGGAACCUCAGUAGACGAUCAUCAGUUGUGGAAGGCCUUGUCGAAAUUGAAUGUCAUACCGAAAGUGAGGGUUUUC